rnacentral:rRNA from 1 species
CCUACGGGAGGCAGCAGUGGGGAAUAUUGGACAAUGGGGGGAACCCUGAUCCAGCCAUGCCGCGUGUGUGAAGAAGGCCCUCGGGUUGUAAAGCACUUUCAGUGAGGAAGAACGCCUGGUGGUUAAUACCCAUCAGGAAAGACAUCACUCACAGAAGAAGCACCGGCUAACUCCGUGCCAGCAGCCGCGGUAAUACGGAGGGUGCGAGCGUUAAUCGGAAUUACUGGGCGUAAAGCGCGCGUAGGUGGCUUGAUAAGCCGGUUGUGAAAGCCCCGGGCUCAACCUGGGAACGGCAUCCGGAACUGGCAAGCUAGAGUGCAGGAGAGGAAGGUAGAAUUCCCGGUGUAGCGGUGAAAUGCGUAGAGAUCGGGAGGAAUACCAGUGGCGAAGGCGGCCUUCUGGACUGACACUGACACUGAGGUGCGAAAGCGUGGGUAGCAAACAGGAUUAGAUACCCCUGUAGUC